GCCAAGGUAGCUCAGUGGUAGAGCGCGCGUUUCAUAAGCGCGAUGUCGAGAGUUCGAUCCUCUCCCUUGGCA
rnacentral:tRNA from 1 species